rnacentral:rRNA from 1 species
AGGAACAUGUGGUUUAAUUCGAUGAUACGCGAGGAACCGUUACCUGGGCUAGAACGCAUUCGGAAUCAGGCCGAAAGCCUGCGCCAGCGAUGGCCGCUUGCGAGGUGCUGCAUGGUUGUCGUCAGCUCGUGCCGUGAGGUGUCGGGUUAAGUCCCAUAACGAGCGCAACCCCUACUGCUAGUUGCCAGCGGGUCAUGCCGGGGACUCUAGCGGAACUGCCAGCGUAAGCUGCGAGGAAGGUGGGGAUGACGUCAAAUCAGCACGGCCCUUACGUCCAGGGCUACACACGUGUUACAAUGGCCGGUACAGAGGGCAGCCACCCCGCGAGGGGGCGCGAAUCCCGAAAGCCGGUCCCAGUUCGGAUCGGAGUCUGCAACCCGACUCCGUGAAGCUGGAUUCGCUAGUAAUCGCGCAUCAGCCACGGCGCGGUGAAUACGUUCCCGGGCCUU